AUUGAACGCUGGCGGCAGGCCUAACACAUGCAAGUCGAGCGGAACGGCGGACGGGUGAGUAAUGCCUAGGAAUCUGCCUGGUAGUGGGGGAUAACGUCCGGAAACGGGCGCUAAUACCGCAUACUCUCGGAUGAGCCUAGGUAGGAUUAGCUAGUGGGUGGGGUAAAGGCCUACCAAGGCGACGAGCCGUAACUGGUCUGGGAGGAUGAUCAGUCAAACUGGAACUGAGACACGGGCCAGACUCCUACGGUAGGCAGCAGUGGGGAAUAUUGGACAAUGGGCGAAAGCCUGAUCCAGCCAAGCCGCGUGUAUGAAGAAGGUCUUCGGAUUGUAAAGCACUUUAAGUUGGGAGGAGUUACUAACAGAAUAAGCACCGGCUAACUUCGUGCCAGCAGCCGCGGUAAUAC
rnacentral:rRNA from 1 species